CACAUUUUACCUGCUGCAAGAGAGCAGUUCAGAAACUGUUCCAAGCGUUGGGUUGCAUACAGUAAAAUCUACCCCUUUAGAAUAACUACUUUGUUGUUUGUUUGAGGGUCUCUAGACUUCUCAUGAACAAAAAGAACAGGAAGGGAAAUUUGCUGUGAUCACGCACAUAUUAUUUACUCUGUUGAUCGGGGGAACUUUCCGAAACUUGCUUCAUCCCCCAAGCACUUCUGGAUUUACGCCGCACGUCUAUUACGGUCGACUUUGCCAGUGACUUUGACCGCUUGGGUCUGUCAAAUUAACGUCGCGGGGGAUCUGCGUUAAGGAGAGACCGCUCUAUUUGAAGGGAUUCACGCAUGUCUGGAUAUUAACUUCCCUUGUUAAUUUGAGAACGGUCUCUGAGGAAGACAGUGGAUGUUAUUGUGUUCGUGUUUUUGAACUUUUUGUACCAACUAAUACAGCAGAAGCGUCAACAUGUUGAGUAACACUGGAGUCUAUGCUGUCAAGAAGCGGAAGAAGCCCGUUCAAAAAACCAAGAAAUCUCCUGCUCCAGAUGUGGUCAAGUCGAACCCAUCCAAACGCCACCGGGAUCGGCUGAAUGGGGAGCUGGACAGGCUGACAGGCCUCCUACCAUUCCCUGAGGAUGUGCGCUCUCGCCUGGACAAACUCUCUGUGCUCCGCAUCAGCGUCGGCUACCUGAAGGUGAAGAGCUUCUUCAAAACAACCAUGAAGAAAAGCAGUGUCCUGUUUCCUGGGAGGGAUGGCCUGAACAUGAAUGGGAUGACCGCCCCAACCUUCUCCGAGGGGGACCUACUUCUCCAGGCUCUGAAUGGCUUUGUGCUGGUGGUCACAGCUGAGGGACAUGUGUUCUAUUCCUCUCCUACUAUCCAAGACUACCUGGGUUUCCAUCAGUCAGACGUGGUCCACCAGAGUGUGUUUGAGCUGAUCCACACAGACGACAGAGCCACGUUCAGACGACAGCUUCACUUUGCCCUCAACCCCAACCCCUUUGACCCAGAGCAGGGAGGAGAUGGCAUGGCGAGCAGCAGUGACAUCACCAGGAACAUCGUGACCUAUAACCCUGAGCAGCUCCCACCAGAGAACUCCUCCUUCCUGGAGAGGAACUUUGUGUGCCGCUUCCGCUGCCUCCUGGACAACUCCUCUGGCUUCCUGGCUCUGAACUUCCAGGGGCGUUUGAAGUUCCUCCAUUGCCAGAGCAUGCUGGGGGAUGACGGGACGCACAGCCAGCCCAGGUUGGGCCUGUUCACCAUCGCCACCCCUGUCCACACCCCGUCCAUAUUGGAGAUCAGAAACAAGACGAUCUUCUUCCAGACCAAACACAAGCUUGACUUCACCCCCACGGGUGUCGAUGCCAGGGGGAAGGUUGUCCUGGGAUACUCAGAGAUUGAGUUGUGUAUGAGAGGCUCUGGGUAUCAGUUCAUCCACGCAGCUGAUAUGAUGUACUGUGCAGAUAGCCAUGUCAGAAUGAUUAAGACAGGAGAGAGUGGUCUGACCACGUUCAGACUGCUGCAGAAGACUGGGUGCUGGGUCUGGGUCCAGGCCAAUGCCAGGCUUGUCUACAAAGGAGGAAGGCCCGACUUCAUCAUCGCACGCCAGAGAGCUUUACUUAAUUCUGAGGGAGAGGAGAAUCUACGCCAGAGGAAGAUGCUACUGCCCUUCAGCUUCACCACCGGGGAGGCCCUGCUGUACGAGACCGGCCCCACCCUGGAUGCCACGGAGUUCCAAAACAACCCCCCAAAAAUCUGCAAGGUGGAGUCUCUGGACCCCCAGUCUCUACUGGGCUCUUUACUAAAGCAGGACAAAUCCGUCUACACCCAGCCCCAGGAGCCUCAGCUACCCAUAGACCAGGUAUUCAUGGACAGCCGAGCGCUCACCAACGUGGCCUGUAACUCCUGGCAGAGUAGCAUGGAGCCCCAGGGGCCCGACGGGGUUGAUGAUGGUGAUAGCCCCAGGGAGGUCAAGCACGAGGGGGCGUUGGUAGCCAUGAUCGAUGCCCUGGAGAGGAUGGCGCAGGAUGGGGACCUGUGUGCGGCUCUGCAGGGGAUGGACGUGGGUACGGCGGAGCUGAUGGAGUGGGAGAGCACCCUCCUCAGGCUGAGCCAGAACUCCAAUGGGACCGGGAGCGGGGACACCUCCCUAGAGCUGGAUGACAUCAUGACCAACGACAUCUUCUCUUACGUGGAGGAAGCCUUGUUCAAGGAGAGCAGCGAGGGGAGCGGUAACCAGCCCAACUGCUCCACCAUGGUCAACAACGACCCUAAACUUUUCACAGGGGUGCUCGACAACAACAACCAGGGUGGACCAUUUCCAGGAGUGGUCAGCCCUACUACAGGUGCCGGACAGUGCAAGCCCGGGUUGCUUGACAAAUUCGGCUUUGUCCAAAAUGGCUCCCCAGUGAACGAUCUAAAUGGUAUCAGCCACAGUCAGGUAACAGGCAACAGAGUAGUUGGUUUGGCAGGACAGAACCAGGGUGGACAGAACCAGUGUGGACAGAACCAGGGUGGACAGAACCAGGCAGGACCACAGCAGGUGUUCAAGAGCACCCAGAGGCUCUCCCACUUCGGCCCCCAGAUUCCUCAGACGGGCCUGAAUAUCCCCAUCCUGCAGCAGCUACAGCUCAACGACAUCUUCACCUCCUCUCUGGAGCUCCCCGAGCUCAGUAACCCACAUAGCUCAGGCCAGAAUGAGUCUGUCACGUUAAGCACUAGCAUGGCUGGAUCCUGUGCUCAGGCACCAAACAACCACAUGGGAAGCCCUCAGAUCAUCACUGGCCAGGUCCAAUCUAACCAGCCACCUCCACAGGGUUUCCCUCAUAAUGGCUUGCCAGCUGCAAUGGCACCAAACGAACCAGAGGAGAUCUCUGUUCCACAGUCCAACCAUCUACCACCUAUUCUGGUGGAUGCUUGGGCAUCUUUGAUUCCCAGUAAUGGCUUUGUUUCACCCCAGAUUGCCUGCAGUGCACCAUUUCAGUCACUAAAAACCCAGAAAGUGCAGCAGUGGCCCCAGAACCAGCAGCAUCAGCUACCACCAUCCGCCAGCACAAUGGAAAAUGGACACCAAUUCAUCCCAGACUGUCACAGUCAAGCCACAGAGACCCAAAGAUUCCCUCUCACAGGCCUUUGGCCACAGAACACCAACGGAUUGUACCACCAACCCCAGCAGGGGCGAUUGGCCAACGGCCAGCCUGCUCCAUCCGGCAGCUGUAUGUUUGAGAACGUCUCACCCCCCCUCCCCAACAGAAACAGCCACGUGGAUGGCACCAUUCUGCCUCCCCCCUUGUCUGCAUGCCAGAGGAAGAUGGUGGACCCCCAGGACCAGAGCUACUUGCAGUGGGGCCCCAGUGAGCCGGUGGUGGACACGUCAGCCAUCAUCCAGGACAACACCGGAAUCAGCUUCCCGGCUCGCCCGCUUGUGGCCAACAUCACCACCCCUGAGAGCCUACUGGCCAUGCAGCAGUACCUUUCUGGACGCAACAGAGUCGGACAGACACAGAUCCCAAGCCUCUGUGUAGUAGACAGCAAUGGAACAUUCUCCUCAUCCCCACUUGUCAAUGGAACAUUCUCCUCAUCCCCACUUGUCAAUGGAACAUUCUCCUCAUCCCCACUUGUCAAUGGAACAUUCUCCUCAUCCCCACUUGUCAAUGGAACAUUCUCCUCAGCCCCACUUGUCAAUGGAACCAUGUGCUUUACAGACCACAACCAAACCAACUAUUGCGACUUCUAAACACGAGUCACAUGUUACUCUGUAAACAUUAUGGACAAAAAGAGGAGGAAGCCAUUCAUGGAUCUGUUCAUCCAUCCGUACACAUUCAAAGACAACACACUGCCGUAAGAGCUGCCUCAGGGAGGGUGUCGUGAUGACAAGCCAUCCCCUAGUCAGACACACCAUUCAUCUCCCCAUAUCAGUGUUUACAGGAAAUACAAGGACUCUUUUGAUUAAGCACUUGUCACUUCUGUCAGCAAUGGAACAAAAAGCAGCAACUUUACAUGGAACUGGUUUUAUUUCUUUUUUUGUUGUUGUCUUCUGUUUUGUUUGUUGUUGCCUUGUCUUUGGUUUUAUUACUGUGGAAAAACAGUAUCUGUCACAACUUCAAUGAUAUGAAUGAAGUUUGAAUCCUCACUGGUGAAUUUGGCUUGUGUUAUAAUGGCUUUUUAGGGUCAUGCCCAAUUCCCCAAAUGAUUUAUAUAUAUUAAUGGAGCAGGCCAUAUUCAUUUCUUGUUACGUUUGUUUCUUCUUACAUUAUAGUUGGAUGGUGACAGGACACCAUUCAAGUUUUCACUCGUGGAGAAACAUACAAAAAAACUGAUAUUGUACUCAGAGAUUAAAAAUAAAGGCACAACAUCCUCAAUUUAUAUAUGGAGUGUAGGGUUGCAAAAUUCUGUGAACUUUAGAUACAUUUCCUAAUUUGUACAAAAUCCCAGUUGGAGAAUUCCUUGAAUCAGGAAUCAGGGAAAAAGCAGGAAAUCCAGAAUCCUCCAACCAGGGAAUGUAUUAAAUGUUCCUGUCAUUUUUCAACCCUAAUGAAGUGUAAAUACAGAAAUGGCCUCUAUAUUAUUAUAAAGAUAUGAAUGUUUUUAUUGUGUGAGUGUGUUAUGGCUGUGAUGAAUAUGACUGUGUGUACAUGGGGUGUGUUCCUGUUUGUGUUUGCUUGUUCUGAAGAAUGAAUGAAGCAGUGUACAAAUAGAAUUUCUGAGGAAAAAGCAACGUAUUUCAUUGAAAUGUCUGCAUUGGUUGCAGAGUAGGCUAUAAAAAAACAAAUUAUGUGCUUUCAGAUUGUACUCCUUGUAAUGCUAUUGGUAUCCAAAUUUCAUUACAAUUUAACAAUAGUCUGAUAUAGUACGUUGAUAAUGCUAUAUCAAUAGUAUUCAAUCCAUUUAUAGUUGUUUCUUUGUUUUAUCUAAACUUCACUGAGCCAUAUGCUAACUUGUGGUAAUUUGUUUACUUUAGUUUUUUGUUCAUAAUAUCAUCUGCGGAGGAAGGUGUAGUGCAUGUUAAGGAGACUCAGGAGACAUACAGUUGCUAGUGAAUAGUCGACACACCACUUGCACAGUCUUCACAUUUUGCUACAUUAAAAUCUGAAAAGGGAUUUUUUUCCUACCGAUCUAAACAAUCUACUCCACAUUUUCAAAGUGAAAGAAAAAUGUAUAAAAAAGAAAUACGAAACAAAGAUGUUUUGAUUGCGUAUGUCUUCGCAUCCGAGGGGUUGAUUGAAGACCCCUUUUUGUUGUCAUUUUUCUCUCCCCAAUUUCGUGGUAUCCAAUGUGUAGUUAGAAUCUUGUCUCAUUGCUGCAACUCCCCUAUGGACUCGGGAGAGGUAAAGGUUGACAGCCAUGCGUCCUCCAAAACAUGACCCUGCCAGGCCGCACUGCUUCUUGACACACUGCUCGCUUAACCCGGAAGCCAGCCGCACCAAUGUGUCGGAGGAAACACCGUACAACUGACGACCGAUGUCACAAGGAGGUCAGUAGAGCACGAUGAGACAAGGAGGUCAGUAGGGCACGAUGAGACAAGGAGGUCAGUAGGGCACGAUGAGACAAGGAGGUCAGUAGAGCACGAUGAGACAAGGAGGUCAGUAGAGCACGAUGAGACAAGGAGGUCAGUAGAGCACGAUGAGACAAGGAGGUCAGUAGAGCACGAUGAGACAAGGAGGUCAGUAGAGCACGAUGAGACAAGGAGGUCAGUAGAGCACGAUGAGACAAGGAGGUCAGUAGAGCACGAUGAGACAAGGAGGUCAGUAGAGCACGAUGAGACAAGGAGGUCAGUAGAGCACGAUGUCACAAGGAGGUCAGUAGAGCACGAUGUCACAAGGAGGUCAGUAGAGCACGAUGUCACAAGGAGGUCAGUAGAGCACGAUGUCACAAGGAGGUCAGUAGAGCACGAUGAGACAAGGAGGUCAGUAGAGCACGAUGUCACAAGGAGGUCAGUAGAGCACGAUGAGACAAGGAAAUCCCAGCCGGCCAAACCUUCCCCGAACCCGGACGACACUGGACCAAACCCUCCCCUAAUCCGGAUGACGCUAGGCAAAUUGUGCGCUGCUUCAUGGGUCUCCCGGUCACGGCUGGCUGUGGCACAGCCUGGGAUCAAAAACCGAGGCUGUAGUGACGCUUCAGCACUGCAAUGCUGUUCCUUAGACCACUCCACCACUUGGAAGUCUCCGGUGGAAGCACCUUUGAUAGUCAUUACAGCUGUGAAUUAUUUUGAUUAAGAUUAUUAUUUAGAGAAACAUAUUUUCAUUGUUUAUGUCAAAAUUGCUUAAGGUCAGUAAAUUUGUUCAGGAGUCAUUGAUCGGCAGCCAUAUUCAAACCUUGUCUCUGAUUGUCAAGCAAAUUUAAGUCAAGGCUAAGAAACACUCAAGAACACUCAACACCUAUUGGUAAGCCAUUCUGGUGUCUAUGGCAUUAACAUUUUUGUAACUGUGCCGCUGAAAAUAAAACUCUAUUCCAGGGUUUUCCUCAACUUUUUACCUAGGCUUUGCUCUUUUCAUGUUUCUUUUGAUCCUGACAAACUCCUCAGUCCCUACUAGUGACAGGCAUACCCAUAACAUGAUGCUUCCACCACAAUACUUGAAAAUACAGACGAUUUAUAUUGGAUUUGACAAAAGCCUGUAGUUUUUUCUAUUUAGGCCAAAAAGUGAUUUAUUUGUCGUGUUGUUUUGCAGUAUUACUUUAGAGCCUCUUGUUGCAACCAGAACAGGCUUCCUUCUCUUCACCUUAUCAUACAGGCCAGUAAUGUGGAGUGAAUGUAAUGUUGUUGAUUUUCAAGUAUUGUGGUGGCAGCAUCAUGUUAUGGGUAUGCUUGUGGCAGUGGCUGGGGAGUUUGUCAGGAUCAAAAUGAAUAUAAAAGGAGCAAAGCCCAGGUAAAAAACUAGAGGAAAACCAGCAUCAGUCUUCUGAAUAACUAACCCUGAGAUAGAUUUUUACAUUUCUGCUGGACAAUUUCACAAAGUCAAAUGCCAAAGACACACCAGUAUGCCUUUCCAAUAGGUGUUGAGUGGUCCUGAAUGGUCCAGUCACAGUCCUGACUUAAACCUGCUCAAAUCAGAAACAAUAUUUGAAUAUUGCUGUGCAUCAAUGAUUCCCAACUUAAUGUACUGUGCUUGAGCAAUUUUGACAAAAACAAUGGAUAUGCAGUAUGUUGCCCUAAGAGUAGUAGAAUCUUAUUCAAAAUGAUUCACAGCUUUAAUGGCUGGCAAAGGUGCUUCCACCAAUGAUCAACUCUGUGGUGUGAAGACAUACGCAAUCAAGACAUUUUUAUUUUAUUUGUAAUUAAUUAGGAACAUUUUCUAUAUAUAUUUUUUUCAAUUUGAAAACGUGGCGUAGGUUGUGUACAUGAAUAGGAAAAAAAUGUGUAAUGCAAUUUUUAGAUAACAUUUUAAUGUGAAGGAGUGUGCAGACUUUCACUAUGCACUGUAGGUCCUAGAAGUCUAGUGUAGUAACCAUGGUUACUAUAGACAUGGGACUGGAAGUAGAACUUCCCACGAGUCCACAUGUUGAUCAGCAUAUUCGACAAAUGGCACUUCCCAUUUAGUCCCAUGUCAGUUGAUGAUUGACAGUAACAUGGCAGGUCCUCCCGUUGUUAAGGCCCCCGGACACUGAAGUCUCCCGGCAUCACUCUGACUCCUCCCUCAAAGGCAUCUGAGGCUAAAUCAAUAUGGCUGCCCACCUUUUAUUUCCCUUGACCCAUUUCCUCAUUCUGCUCAUAUGAAAAGACAAGGCAGGUUUCCGCCAUAUUCCCCUAUAUGGCGGAAACUAAACCCGGCCAACUAGAGGGCUUCUCCUACCAAACUGUUCUCACUGACAGGUCUCUCAGCUCAAUAAGGCAGAGGAAGUUACACAUAGCAAAGGGAGCUGUUAUAUGUAUUGGGUGUAUUCACAUUUAGCUUUGCUUUUCAAUUAUAUUUAGCAACUUUUCUCAUGCUUUUUGCUUCACCGAGCUGAUUUAUAAUAUAUAAUAUAUAUAUAUAUAGCUGAUAUAUAAUAAUAUAAUUUUCAAAGCGCCUGCCUUGAAAUGUUGAUAAAGUUCCUUGUAUCAAAGUUGAUAUGAAAGAAAGGGAAGGGUAUACAUUAUAUAUCACCUCUAGGGUUGCAAAACUCCAGGAACUUUCAAUACAUUUCCUGGUUUUCCAGAAAUCGUGGUUGGAGAAUUCCAGAUUUCCUGCUUAUUCCUUCCUGAUUCCGGGAAUCCUCCAACUGUGGAAUUCAGGGAAAAACAUGGGAAUUUAUUGAAAGUUCCCAGAAUUUUGCCACCCUAAUCCACCCCCUGCUAUAUAUCUAUUCGUUAAACUUACUCUUCAACGGUCUCCGACAUCAGGCAGUUGCAGAGUUCAGCAUCAAUAUAUUAUGAAUAUUUCCAUUUUUGCAUUUGUUUGUCGUAUGUUUUGGUUAUUUCAUGUUGUUAUUAUGUCUCGUGGCCUUACAACAUCUGUUAGACAUUUGUUCUCCUUGGAAAUAUUUGUCUCCACAUAAAUAUUUAAUUUAGUGUAGUUCACUUGUAUUUAGGCAAGUAUAGCAUAUGCAUUGUAUUGAUAUUUACCACCUUGUGUUUGUUACCUUAUAUUCUCAAUUGUAAAAUUAAUUCUCAUAUAAAAAAAAAUUAUAAUAACUUACUAAUGUGUUACUUGGUCAUUAUUAAAGUGCAAUACUUCUGUUG